rnacentral:lncRNA from 1 species
GAUAAAUUGCUGUGGUUGACUUCAAACAUGCUCCUGCCUCACACUCCCAAGUUGCUGAAAUUAUGGGUGUGUGUAACUAUGCCCAGCUUUUUUCUUGUUUAUUGCAUCCCCACUUAAUAAUAUAAGCUGCUUGGGGAAUGGGAUGUUGCCUGAUUUCAAUACUGUAUGGUACUUAGCAUAGUGUCUGGUAUGUUACAGGUGGGCAGUCAAUAUUUGUUGAAUAACUAAAGGGAUUUUUAUCUUGAUGUUUAGACCUUUAAUCCAUAUUGGCAAUGCAUUGCUUCAUCUUUAAUGUGCAGAUUUCCACAGAUACAUGUAUAGAUCAAUUAUGCACAAGUACUAAUGUAAAUGUGCACAUAUAUUUGUCUACAUGUGAGCAGGUAGGUUAAGUUUUGUGAUUCUUGUAGUUUCUAGAGAUUUGCAUGUGAUAUUUGGCCAUAUAUUAAAAUUAUAAGUAUAGUGUUUAUCUAGGAAAGUUCUGUUUUUGUGUUGUAGAAGAAACAGUGCUGUAUUCAGAGGUGCAAUUGGUGUAGGCUUUUAAUUCAUUAAGUAGACUCCUCCUUUCUCACCAGGGUGUAGAAAAACUUAGGAAGAAAAAGAACUUUAUUUAAGACUCCUUCCUCUUCUACAUCCCAAAGGUCACAUUGCUAAUAAUGCCUUUGGAAAGAAAGGGAGAUGACAACCAAUAUAUUAAGUGGUUACUUUCUGCUGACUGUUUGCAUGAUCACAUACACUUGUGCAAACACAUACAUAAACCUGAGAGGAAUCCUUCAGAAUGAGGCUUUUAUUGAUGACUGUGAAGGGUGUUCAUUAUUGGAAUGUAUUUUAACACGUGAAUAUAUAAAUUUUAAAUCUAUAGUAUUAGCAAAUGUUCAUUGUAGAGUAUUAUGAAAGUAAGUAGCAGUUACCCAUAAUGUCACCAUAUAAAUAACUACCAUUGUUAAUAUUUUUCAGGUCUUUUUUUUUAAUGGGUUCUCACUAAAUUGAUGAGGCUGGCCUUGAACUCAGUAUCCUCCCUGCCUCAGUGUCCUGAGAAACUGAAAUUACAGGUGUACACUGUCAAGCCCAGCUUUUCUUUUAGUUACGUUUUAUGUGUUUUUUAAAUUAAGUAGCAACAUUUAUCAUAAACAUCUUCCCAAGUAAUUUAAAAUUCUAUGUAAAUAUUAAGCACAUACUAUUAUAUUCAUCAUGCAGAUACACCUCACUACUUAACCACUCAUAACACUGGGAUUAAAGGUGUUUUCAGUUUUUUGAUAACCAAAUAACAUUUUUGAGUUUACCAUCUUUGUGCAUAAAUUUUUGUUUACCUUUAUUAAUGUUACCUGAAGUUACAUUCCUUUAGAAGUACAAUUACUGAGUCAGAGAAUGUCCAUUUUUAUAAGGUGCUUAAACACUUGGAGGAUCACAUUGCAGAGAAAUGAUAUCAAUUAUAUUUUCACCACCUGAGUGUAUGAAAGUAACUUUCUCUCCAUGUGAAAAAAGAGGAAAAGUAUUUACUGACAAACAACAGUAAAAAAUUUACAUAUAAGUUUCCUUUUCUUUUUCAAACAGUAUAUUAAACAUUGUUUCAGUAUGCUUUCUGUUCCAGUGUUUCAACUUCUAGUAUGGCCUAGAAUGUUUUCUUGUCUGAAAGUAAGUGGCUUUUAGUAGUUACUUUCAGUAGUUAAUAUUUU